rnacentral:rRNA from 1 species
UACAGAGGUCUCAAGCGUUUGUUCGGAUUCAUUGGGCGUAAAGGGUGCGUAGGUGGCGUCGUAAGUCGGGUGUGAAAUUUCGGAGCUUAACUCCGAAACUGCAUUCGAUACUGCGGUGCUUGAGGACUGGAGAGGAGACUGGAAUUUACGGUGUAGCGGUGAAAUGCGUAGAUAUCGUAAGGAAGACCAGUGGCGAAGGCGGGUCUCUGGGCCGAUACUGACGCUGAGGAGCGAAAGCGUGGGGAGCGAACAGG